UUGUAUAAAUAGCGAUGUUCAAUUCACUUAGAAAAGAGUUAACUGUGAAGCUCUAUUGAUAAUUCAUUAAAAAUGUUGUUCUUAUUUGCAUUGUUCACGGUGACUUUUGCCAGACACGUCGAUCUCCCGUACAUUGCUUUACAUAAUCCUGAUCUCUUCCAAGGAGACAUUAUUGGAAUUGAAGAUAAUGAUGUCAGAAAUGCCAUACCGAUUGCUUCACGUCGCUGGCCGGGUGGAAAAGUGGCCUUUGUCCUCGAUUCAACUAUGGGUUAGCUUAAA